rnacentral:ncRNA from 1 species
CUUAUAGUAUCCUACAACUAGGCAUACUCAUGCCUAGGUGAGAUGAAAAGGAUCCACUUAUUGGCAUAUGGCAUUAUCCUGUUCAGGUAUUUAAUAUGGGGAGGUGGAACACGAGCGUACGCGUUAGGACCUGAAAGAUGGUGAACUAUGACUGGGCAGGGCAAAGCCAGAGGAAACUCUGGUGGAAGUCUGUAGCAGUCCUGACCUGCAAAUCGGUGGUCCAACCUGGGUAUAGGGGCAAAAGACUAAUCGAACCAUCUAAUAGCUGG